rnacentral:sRNA from 1 species
AGAAAUGUUAACUGCUGGUUGUAGUGA